UUUUUACGCUUUGUGUAUUCAGUAAAUUUCUCGAUUUUUUUCGGGAAUGGAAAUUAUGAAGUACCAAUACCAUCAAGAACCUUAAGGUUAAUAUCUUCUGUGACUAUGAACACCAAAGUGAGUUGAAUGUCAAAGCAUGUAUAGCGUCCGACGAUUCGGACCAAGGACUUUUCGUACCAUUUUUAUGUGGAGGUUCCGUACCGAAGAGGUUACAUAUUACUUAAUAUUUGUAUCAGAUGUUAAGGUUUUAUUUCAAUUAAAAGCGUCAAACCCCUUUAAUCUUUAUAAGAGAAGCGUAACACAACGUUUGAACACAUCAUUACUGGAAGCCUCAUUUUGAAGUCUGCCAUUGUUUACUUCCGGUGAACCGGGUGAUAAUUUUUUUGCACUAAAUAUGGACAUGUUAGGGAAUUUCAUCUUUAUUUUUGUGCUUUUGACGAUCCUAAAAGCAUAGAGAGUUACAUCUACCAGGAUGAAAAUGUAUCAAAUGGUAACAGUAGCAAUAACCACAGGAAAGAUAACUCUUGCAAAGCCUUGUUUCAGGAUUCAAAAACAUGUGUCCACAAAAGAAUUGAAAUCCUCGUGUUCAUUUUUCAAACCUAUCCUAUCCUGUACAUGGGGGUAUUUAAAAUACUAUAUGACUUUCAAGACUUAAAAAUGUGCAGAUUAGAAAUCAUACACUGUUUUCCAAAGCAAAAGUACAUGUAUUUGAAUUGGGCUAAAUUUUCAGUCAUACUUUUUUAGUGAAUGGCUUCGUCAUUUUUUUAAAUAAACUAGGGAAAUGUUCAUAGUGGACGUAGUGGAUGAAUAAGUCAUAUUAAGAUAAAUCAAAUACAUGUAGCAAAAAAAAUGCAAUUAACUGUGGACACUUUUGCACAAAAAACCUGAAAAAGUUGUUACGUGUCAAAAUCUAGGAUAUGACUUUAACACCAUAUAAUACUUUAUCAGUAAUAUUUACAUUCAAAAACACAAUUGAUUUGUCAUUCAUACACAUAUUAGAGUCCAGAAACAUUAUUUUAUGCCUGUAAAUCAAAACUAACAAAAAGUGAUGGUUGUUGCUAGUAACGGAAAAUGUUUCAUUAGGCCUGUAAUUUACAGAUAUAGGCUGAAUCGGACAAUGGCAGAUUCGGCCCAAAUUUACUUGGCUUAUUCGGCACAAAUUAUUCCUGACACUAAUAUCAUUAGUAAAAAUAACAUUUUAAUAUGAGUAUUAAAUUUAAUUUCUGCAAAGAAUAAUUAAAUUGCUUUUUGCUUUUUAAGUGCAUAACUGAUGCAUUUUAGCCGGUUAAAGCUUCUUACCUGCUUGUACGGUGUAUAUUCUAUAACAUAAACUACUUCAAGUUAAAUCCCUUUAAUCAGCAUUAUUUCCAGAACAUUGCCAAUCAUCCAAAAUAUAUGGUCCUUACUGACUCCUAGUCGUAAAUCAAAGUUUGUGGUCCACAUUAGCCGGAAUAUAUAGUCAUUUUCUACUUUUAUUUAAAGCAUUUGGUCUAAAUUAGCCAAAAUUUAUGGUCCGAAUCAGCCUGUUUCCGUAAAGACUUUUGUAACAACAAGUUUGCAGUGAAGGCAACAAUGUCAAUGAAAAAGCGUCCAGUUUUUUUGUGCCGACUUAUUCUACUUUUUAUAUGUUAUUUCUGGCUGAAUUUUGUGCACAAGAACCUAAACCUGCAGUGUGUGGUGGCUACUUGUUGUAAAAUGGACAACAAACCCCACACUGUUUCUAACUUGAUGCAGUGUUGUGAAAAAAAAAAGACAUUCACUGUUUAAAACUUAGCAGAGUAUUCAUGUAGUUAGGCCACAAAAAAACCCACAAAGUUGCAUCCAGGUAAAACCCGCAACUGAAUUGCUUCGCAAGAUGGUCAAACUAAACCCUUAAUGAAAAAACAAGUAAAAUGACCAUAGACCCAUACCUUAACAUGAUGCAGUGUUAGGUAUUCCUUUAUGGUACUCACACACAUUUCACGUUAUUUUAAACAUGCAGUAUGUUGGAGAAUUGUUAUGCAAUUGCUGCAAUGAAUUAUUUCCAAAAUCAGGCAAUUGGUCUGUUGAACUGUAACAUACUUUUCCAUUGCUAGCUCAAAUGCUCACUAGCAUAUACAAUGUCAUUUUUUUGUAUAAAAGUUUAACAAUCUGCAUUUAUUAUUACAAACUUCAGAGCUUUUGAAGAAGAAAAGGCUGAAUUCCACCUAAGAGACGUUCUUGUAUGAUAUAGACUGGGCACUGGCCUAUUGGUCACCAGCAUAUACCAAGUAUAAUACCUGAAGGUUCUAAGACUGGGAUGAAGUUUAAUACCAAUUGAGCUGUAAGGAAAGAGGUUGGAAUCAAAGUCCUUGUCUGUUGGCAACUACAGAUAUAGCAGAAGCAGAUUAAACACAGGAAAUGGCUGCUCAAGAUAGCAUUUAACCAAAUGAGCUGAUUUAAUUGCUCAUGGAGUCAGAACACAUGGCUCAAAUGGAACAAGAGGAACAUACCCUGUAGACGAAAACAUCGCGAGAAUUCAUCAAAAACAAGACAAAAAUGAAGUCAGAAUGAGGAUGAGGAAAUAAGAAAAAUAUUUCAUAAAUGUUUCCUUACAAGAAAAUGUCCAACAGCUCAUCAUUGUCUUAAAGCUAUAAAUUUAAGCAGGAAGAACAACUGUUGCAUUUGUAAACGUAAGAAGGAUGUCCUUAAAAAAGAAGUCAUAUUGAAGGAUUGACAGCUUAAGUGAUUAACAUUUAUGUAGUAGACAGCGACUGGGAAACCCAUGAGACAUGAACCAUAGUCACAUAAAAAUAAAAAAAAUGUCACAUAAGUUUUAAGUGCUGAUGAGCCCUGUGUCAUAUGGCUAAAGUGUAUUGAAUGCAAAAGAAUGAAACUAUUUAAUAGUGCAAAUUUUAUGUAAAGGAAUGUAACCAAAUUCAAUGUUUAAAGACAUGUGUUAACAUAGUAUUUUAUUCUAGACUUUGAUUUUUGUCAGUUUUCAAUAUUUGUCCCCAAGUAAGAGGAAAUUGUUGCUAGUAAAAAGGCAAAAAAGUUACCUUUAAGUUUAAGUUUUACAAAUAUCAACAAUAAUGAGGAAUUGACUUGCGAUGAAAAUAACAACACCCGUUUUUAAACAUAUUUAAAAUAAUUGUUCAUAGAAGUAACGGUACACUUAGUCUGUUUCUUCUUCCAAAGUAUUAAAUGUUGACAAUGUUUACUUUUAUCACAUACAGGCACAUUGCUGUAAAUUUUUUUAAAGAAUAUUAUCCAGGGUAUGAUUAGAGCAUUGUUCGGAAGACUUACAUUUAUUAUCAGUGGUAUAAAGGAGUACUGUUCAGUUCUACCAGGAAAGUAGAGUAGAAUAAAUGCUUUGAAUAUUAUUGACAUUAAAGCUGUUGAGCUGUUACAGUUUUAGUUGCUAUACUUUUAUUUAAUUAAGAGCUUAUUUAAUCUGAAAUGUAUACAUACUACAGUGCAAAUUCCUAGCACACUAAUCGCAGAUGUCCCACAGAAAUUUCUGAAUGUCACAAAAUUUUAAAAUGUCACUUAACAAAUUGUGUAUGAUGGGCCUUCGUCCCAUGAACAAAAAUUCGUUCCCUGUCGCUGAGUAGAAUGAAUAUCAUCCAAACUUUUUGCCAGUUCGGAAAUAAAUAUAAUUGAUUUUAGUCAACACUUUAAUUCUUUUGAGGAAAAGCUAGUGUUGUAUGAUGUUUAAUCAGCUCUAUUUAGUAUAGACUCAAAUAGUAAACCUUAAAAGUGGUGUACCCUGAAGUUCUUAACUAUAUUAUUAUUUCUCAUAUUGGACCAGACAUUGAGCAGAUUAUUCCUUUGUCAUAGAAAUGAGCACACGGUGUACUGAAUUUUUUACUAGGCUAUAUUAGAAAAAUUUGUCCUGAUGAAAGAUGCUACGAGUUUUAGUGUACAUCACUUUUAGAUAUAGUCACUGUCGUGAUAUGUGUUUGACGUACAUCUGCUUUAAUUGAAUGUAAACCCAUGUACAAGGCAGGUUUCUUGUUAGUGGGUUACAAGUUGUUUUACCUUUUUUGUGGGUAACAAGUUUUACCUUGUUUUAUGCUAUUUUUAGCUCGAUUAUUCAAAGAAUAGGUAGUGCUAUUGCACUCACUCAUGCGUCGGCGUCGCGUCCCGACCAGGUUAAGUUUUUGUAUGUAAGCUGAUAUCUCAGUAACCACAUAUCGGAAUGGAUUGAAACUUCACACACUUGUUCACUGUGAUAAACUGACCCACAUUGCAGAGGUUCCAUAAAUCUGAUUGCUUAUUUACAAAAUUAUGCCCCUUUCUUGACUUAGAAAUUUUUAGUUAGGUUUUUGUGUGUAAGCUGAUAUCUCAAUAACCACUAAAGGGAAUGGAUUGAAACUUCACAUACUUGUUUCCUGUGAUAAACUGACCUAAAUUGCACAGGCUCCAUAAGUCUGAUUGCAUAUUUACAAAACUAUGCCCCUUUUUCGACUUAGAAAUUUUAGGUUAAAGUUCUGUAUGUAAGCUGGUAUCUCAACAACCACUAGUGGGAAUUGAUUGAAACUUCACGUACUUGUUUACUGUGAUGAACUAACCUAUACUGCACAGGUUCCAUAACUCUGAUUUGCAUUUUUUCAAAAUUGUUCCCCUUUUUCUACUUUUAAAUUUAUUUAAUUGACAAGGCUGUUGAAUAGUCGAGCAUUUAUGUCCUCCGACAUUUCUUGUUAAACAUUUAGAAUGUUGGUGUAAACAUACUCGAAAUUGUUCUUCUGGUUUAUUUCUGUUAUUGCCAAAAAAUGAAAAUAUUCAUGACAUAUUAAAAUGACAUUAAGCUUACCUUACUGCAUAGGUGUUUUUGGUUACUGUGUUAGACUGUCAGUUUUAUAUUGCUGUACAUUUAGAUGUGUUAAAUAACCAAAAAUGCAACAACAAAAGUUCAAGUUAAUACUUUAAAACUAAGAAUUUACUUUCCAAAUGUUACUUUUCUUAUUUUGACUGGGACAGUCUUUUUAAGAAAACUAGACUGUGUACUAUAAUUCCCUUAAGUCUGUUUCUUUAUAUUUAAGGUAGUGAUUACCUUAGACACCAGAAAUGCCAUUUUUGCAAAACUUGUAUGAUUGUAAUGAAACUUGGUACAUACAUAGUCGUCAUGUAGUCACGGGUGUCAAUCUUAGGCGCAACAAAAAUGCCAAGAAAUAUAAGUAAAUUUUUGACUGGGAUAGUCAAAUAAAAUUGUGUUUACUACUUUAUAUGAAUAAAGCUGAACAUAUCUAUAUA
rnacentral:lncRNA from 1 species